UACGGAGGGUGGCAAGCGUUUGUUCGGAUUUACUGGGCGUAAAGCGCGCGCAGGUGGGUGUGCAAGUCGGAAGUGAAACGUCUUGGAGGCUCAACCUCGAGGCUGCUCCCGAAACUGCAGCGCCUAGGGACUGGUAGAGGCUGGAUAGAAUUCCCGGUGUAGCGGUGGAAUGCGUAGAGAUCGGGAAGAAUACCCGUGGCGAAGGCG
rnacentral:rRNA from 1 species